ensembl:lncRNA
CGUGUCACCCUGAAAUGGCACAAAUAAAUAAAUAAAUACAGGGCCCUUGGGGUGGGAGAAGAGGUGGGUGAGGAGGAGGGAGGAAAAGAGGGAAAGGGGGAGUCACAGACACAGUAAAUAGUUGUCUCCAUCCCCAGCGACGUUUCUCUGGAAAUUUUUUUCUCCUUUUUUUUAAACCAGGAGCUAAAAUUUCAAGGACAAAUAGUUAAAAAUAUACAUUAUUUAUUUUUUUUCCCUUCUGUUGUCUUUUCGCUGUCUUUGAUGCCUUGUUUCUGGAGACUGCUGAGGUCAAAGUUCAAGCCACGCCAAGGGACCGCGGCUUGGGGUUCGUUCCAUUUUUUUAUUAUCGUUUUUAUAUUUUUUCGCUUUUUUCUGACGUAUAAAAAGGUAGCGGAGUUGUCUGGUUUUUUUGGGGUUUUUUUGGUUUUUGGUUUUUUUUUGGUUUUUGUUUUUGUUUUUGUUUUUUUUUAAUUGUUAAAAUCUUUGGUUUGGUUUUUGGUUUUUUCUCUUGGAGGCCUUGUCUCUCUGCACUGGGGCCGGCGGGCCCCGUGUCUCUGUCUCUCGGUCUCUCACGCUCUCUCAGUCUCUCAAGCUUUGGGCAGGAAUGUCAGGAGGGAUGGGGAUUUGGCUUCUCAGGGGGGCGGAAGGAACCAGGCCAGGGUGCCGAGUCCAGAAAGGGGGGGGGUUGUUUUUUUGGUCUAGAAUUAAAGUUUUUGUUUUGUUGUUUGUUCCUUCGUUCAUUUGUUUUCCAGCAAUUCGGAGUGUUCUCAGCAAUGCCUUCUCUCGGUUUUGUCCAUGGUUUCUUUUUCCCUUUUGUUUCUUGCGGUCUGUCAUCCCUGCCCAGGCAAGCAGCCCUUGGCCCCAUUGCCCCCCUGCCCCUUGGGGGGUCACACAUUCUCCUCCUGGUCCCAGGCCCCCUCCUGUCUCUCUGGGAAACAAAAAGGAAACGCUUGGUAGUAGGGCGAGGGCAGGGGGUCCGGCGGUGGAGAGGAGGAGUACAUUCUGCUGGGGGCAGGCAUUGAGGGGGGCCCUGCAUCCACAGCUUCUCCCCUCCUCAGGAGGAGCAGGGCCUCUGGCACUCCCUGACUGACGGAGGAGGCUUCCUGGGAUGGGCUCCCGCAGGCCAGGAAGAGGCAGAGAGGUGGCGGCAGGGGCUGGCGAGGACCGGGAGGGGAGGCAGGGAAAUCAAACCGCCAGGGCCCGGCACCCCGGACUCAAUCCAGCUCUCCUCUUGUGUCCAGCAGAAAGAGGAAGAUCCGAGUGGACGGAGGGCAUCCGGGGUCUCUCUAGUGCCCCACGAUGCAGGAAAGGGCGCGCACAUCACACCAAUGGCUCACUUCCUACCCGGCAACACUUUGGUUUGAGGAAGGAGAGAAAGAAAAGGGAAAGAGAGCGAGGAAGACCAACGGGAACCGAAAGGGGGUAUUCCGGGCUCCAAACCACUCAGAAAUGGUUUUCUUCUUCGGAGAUUUCCAUCAUGGUUUUCCGUCAUUUGUUUAAAGCUUUUUUUUCUUUUUCAGUUGAUUUGGGGCAGGGGAGGGCGUAGCAGUCAGGGAAAGGGGGCUCCCUCUGGGUCCUGGCCUUGAUGUCCUCCCAUCCUGCCCCGGCCCAUCCUUCCUGGGCGAGAAGCCGUCCCUUCCCCUCCCUCCCAACCCCCGUAGAGGUCCAUGAGGUAUUUGUGACGAGAAAGAAGUAUCUAUCCGUCCGGCCGGCCGUCCAUCCAUCCGCCGCGGAGGCUGAAGACCCUUGCCAUCGCCGGGGGGCCCUGGCUUCCCUCCCGGCUCCUCCAGUGUCUUCCUGUAAGAGUCUUGGUUCUCUUCUUCUUUCCCUUAAAUAUAUAUCUCUAUAGAUUUUUUCUAUUUUAAAGGUUUUUUUCAGUUUUAUUUUUUUGUGGUACUUUUUUUUUUUUGGUUCAAGAGGUGGCCGGCAGAGGGACAACCCUGACGGCAGCGUUCCCACAGGCCUCCGUCAUCUAGACACAUCCCAGCGCCCUCCGGGGAGCCGCGGAGAGGCCCGAUGGCCUCCCCGCCCCCGAGGCCGACCCUGAUUCUGGGAGUGGCCCUCUUGAGGUGGGGGCGGGCGAGGCGGGG